UACUUUUAAUAAAAACAAGGCCUCCCAUUAUGAGGACCCUGAACAGACAAGAAGUCUGACUCCUUCAUUUAAAGAUUCAAGCAAUAGAUUAAGUAGAAGAACUUGAAGAGGAUCCUUUGUUAGAAGACUGAGGGACUUCGAUGGACACCUGUGUUCAAGAAAACAAUCAAACCAGGAUCCUGAUUAAAUGGCAUCCUGUGGCGCACCGAGUCUAGAGCUGUAGCUGAAUUCUGAUUGGUCCAUCUCUGGAAAACCCUGUUCUGUGGCAGCAUAUAGAAAUGAAAUGAAACAUGGAGGAAACAGAGCAGCACAGUGACAUCACCAGGAAAAGGACAAAAUCAUAGCAGGGAGGCUGCUGAGAGACCUACAGCAACAUUAAAGGAGCUACAGGAAGAUCUCACACCUACUGAUUCCUCUCAGAAUGUGAUAGCAGCCUCUCUCAUUCUUCACAUGUCUGAGCUAACAGUCUUCUUCUUCUUUGGUCUUUUCCUGUUAGGGGUCACCACUCCUGACACUCUUCUGUCACACACACACAACACUCCUGACACUCUUCUGUCACACACACACAACACUCCUGACACUCUUCUG